UUCUCUCUCUCUCUCUCUCUCUCUCUCUCUGUGUGUGUGUGUGUGAGAGAGAGAGAGAGAGAGAGAGAA